rnacentral:rRNA from 1 species
UACAGAGGUCUCAAGCGUUGUUCGGAUUCAUUGGGCGUAAAGGGCGCGUAGGCGGCGGGGUAAGUCUGGUGUGAAAUCUCGGAGCUCAACUCCGAAAUUGCACUGGAUACUGCUCUGCUUGAGGGUUGGAGAGGAGAUCGGAAUUCACGGUGUAGCAGUGAAAUGCGUAGAUAUCGUGAGGAAGACCAGUGGCGAAGGCGGGAUCUCUGGACAAAUCCUGACGCUGAGGCGACGAAGGCUAGGGGAGCAAACGGG